rnacentral:rRNA from 1 species
AUUGAACGCUGGCGGCAUGCCUUACACAUGCAAGUCGAACGGCAGCACGGGAGCAAUCCUGGUGGCGAGUGGUGAACGGGUGAGUAAAGUAUCGGAACGUGCCCAGUCGUGGGGGAUAACGUAGCGAAAGUUACGCUAAUACCGCAUACGAUCUAUGGAUGAAAGCGGGGGAUCGCAAGACCUCGCGCGAUUGGAGCGGCCGAUAUCAGAUUAGGUAGUUGGUGGGGUAAAGGCUCACCAAGCCCAUGAUCUGUAGCUGGUCUGAGAGGACGACCAGCCACACUGGGACGGAGACACGGCCCAGACUCCUACGGGAGGCAGCAGGAGGGAAGUUUGGACAAUGGGCGCAAGCCUGAUCGAGCCAUGCCGCGUGCAGGAUGAAGGCCUUCGGGUUGUAAACUGCUUUUGUACGGAACGAAAAGGUUUGACUUAAUACGUUGGACUCAUGACGGUACCGUAAGAAUAAGCACCGGCUAACUACGUGCCAGCCGCCGCAGUAA